rnacentral:tRNA from 1 species
ACGUUUCUAGUUUAUUUAUAAGAAUAUUAGUUUGUCGUACUAUUGGUGGGUUUUAGCUCGAAGCGUG